rnacentral:rRNA from 1 species
UACGGAGGGAGCCAGCGUUGUUCGGAAUCACUGGGUGUAAAGGGUCCGUAGGCGGCUUCGCGAGUCUUGGGUGAAAUCCCCCGGCUCAACCGGGGAACUGCCUGGGAAACUGCAGUGCUUGAGUCCGGUCGAGGGAGAUGGAAUUCCCGGUGUAGCGGUGAAAUGCGUAGAUAUCAGGAUGAACACCAGUGGCGAAGGCGAUCUCCUGGGCCGGUACUGACGCUGAGGGACGAAAGCAAGGGGAGCAAACAGG